GGACGGUGACGAUUUUGAUAUUAAGGUCUCGUUCGUCGUAAUGGGCUGUGUAAUUAUACAUACAGUCCUUGCCGACCAUUCUGAUAUAUCACCACCCAUAUUCUGAGUCC